rnacentral:lncRNA from 1 species
CAGGAAUGCUUCACAUUUAUUUAAGAUAGACAAGAAUAAGUAGGAAAAAUCUUGCCCUCUAGUCUAUUUUCCCUUUCCCAUCCCCUAUCAUAAUAUAGUACAAAGGACCUGCACUGCAUAAAUAUUCUUCAUAAAUUAUAUCAAUCCCAUAUAUAGAUGAGGGCCUGUUAUUUAACCUAAAUGAACAAGAAAUGACAAGGAUGUUGGAGAUCUUAGUAAAACACAAGUAUUCUCAAAAUGUGGGGGGUGGGUAUAAAUAAACCUAAUAAAAAAUUCAGAAUUUCAUAUCACUGAAGAUCUUUGGAGUAUAGUUAUCCCAUCCAAUAUAAAGGACAAAUUCUUGCACUGAAUAACUCCCAUCACUAAGAAAGAAGUAAUAUGUUUCUGGUGAGUCUCUCUGGGUUGUGGAGAGAGCAUAUUACACAAUUAGGGAUAGGUUACAUGCUCACUGUGCCACAUGACAGGAGACACUAUGAUAUAGGAGGUAUCAGUGGAAAGCAAAGAUGCUAUAUGGCUUUUAUGGAAAGUUCCAAUGGAAUAUCACAACAUCAUUAGGUUGUGGAGCGAAGUCAGAGAAUUGCAAAUGAGAAUUACAUAAUUUUUGGAUACUAGUUCUUGGUUUGCUGCUAGACAUCAUAUACACCAAAAGCAUGAUCAUGGACUACCAAGUGACCUCAUGGCCAAAACUUCCCAUCAUAAACUGGGCUCUUCCAGAGUCACUGAGUCAUAAAUUUGAAUGAGUCUAGCAGCAAUCUAUAUUAAAAUGGAAGCAAUAUACCUGGGAUUAUGGUGAGUAGGGCCAGAGGCCCUAAGAAAACUACCCUUUAGUCCAUGUUCACUGAUGGCUCAGAUCCCUGUGGCCUUCAGCACAAUUGUACAAGACUGUCUUUCACAGUUCACACCUAUGGUCACAUGUCGAGGAGAAGGAACCAGACAGAGGGGAGGAAGUGUUGAGGUACAUUCAUGGAUGAGUUGGUCUGGUCUGGGUGUGCAGGUCACAAAUGAGCUGUAACCAAACAGUAGCCUCAUUCUGGGCCAAUAAGAAAGAGAAGUGAUGGGAUCUCCUAAAGGAAAAAGCUCUGAGCAGUGAACAUAGUCAUCCUUGGCAUCAUGUUACAUACUUUGUACAGAAAAUAAGAAGUCCAGUUUAUUGCGCAUAAGGCCUCAAAGCUGUUUACUCUGGAACCUGAAGGAAAAAAAAUAAUUAGAUGGUACAAGGAAGUUUAGAACAAAGGAAUUUGGACAGAUUAAUGCAUGGGUAAGAUCUUUGUGUCACAUAAUGUCACUUAAAGAUAGCAUUUGUUACAGAAGAGGCUCUCAAC